UCUUUAUCAAGAGUGUGGGGAGAGACUUGGCUCAAUGAUCCACCAGCAACCAGCAACAACGCCAGGGUGCUCCGGCCAAGAACGAUAAAUA
rnacentral:ncRNA from 2 species